UAAUAAUAAUAACAAUAAAAAAAGGAAAAAAACAAAGCAAAGCAAAGCAACCAAUUUGAUCUCUUAAUUAUCUUUAUAUGGUUGAUCAAAUCCUGACCAUUAAUUUCCGCAAAAUAUGAGUUAGGUGCGUUAAUCAGAAGUAUGAUGUCAUAUGUUGUUGAGAUAAAAAUAAGUAUUUGAAAUGUCGAAGAGAGUAGGUUGGACAUUUGUAUACGAUUUACAUAUUUACAUAUAUACAUAUAUAUAUAUAUAUAUAUAUAUAUAUAUAUAUAUAUAUAUACAGAUACACAUGUAUGUAUGCAUGUAUGUAUGUAUGUACUUACAUCCGGAUUAUAUACAUGGGAUUUAUAUCAUUAUUAUUAAUUUUAAGUGUCGUUCACACCGAAAGAAUAGAUUGAACGUAAUAGUGAAAAUUGUUAUGGUGCGUCGCCAUUAAAAUUUAACGGUUGUCUGAUUGGUCAAUUAAAAAGUCAUUUGGAUGAUUAGAAUGUGGGUUGAAGUGAAAGAAAAAAUAAUAUGCGAAGGAAAAAAUAAUAAUAUGAGAUGCGCGUAAAAAAUAAUAUGCGAAAGAAAAAAUAAUAAUAUGAGAUGCGCGUAUAAGAGAGAAAGAGAGAGAGAAUAAUUAUUUUGAUAGAAUUUAGACAUUCUUUGGUAAAAUUUUGGCAUGAUCGGUACAAUGAUUAUACUAUAUCUAAAUGUCGGAACGCUUUAGGCUGAAAUCGAUAGUAUCGAUAACAUCAAAACAUAAUAUUCUCGGCAUGAGCAUAGUUCGAAGUUUCUAAUUAAAAUCGUUCUGUUUAGUUCUAUAUAUUCUAUAAUUAACGAAUGUUCUAUUUCGUACGUAUAAAUUAGACAAUUUUGAUUUUAAUGAAUCGAACGUGAAUCAUUAAAGGGACUAAUAUUUUUAUUUCUUUCUUGGUUUCUUUUUUUUUUUCCUUUUUUUUUUCUUUUCUUUUCCUUUCAAUGCGUUAGACAUUUGUUUAGAAAAUGAUCCAUUGAUAUGAGGAAAUUAAUGAUAACGUUAAAUGUAGAUUUAAAGCGAUGCACGAGAAACUUUAUCCAAUUGUUAUUAAAAUAUUUAUCGUAUAUCGAUAAGAUUUAUAAAAUAUGAUAAGAAUUUUACGUAAAAUUUUCGAAAUAUCGGAUAUCGAGAUUGAAAUUAUCGAUAAGAAUUAUCAAAGAUUAAAAACUAUAUAUUUAUUUUGAUAUAAAAUAAUGAUGAUAUAAAUCGUAGAUCAACGUUUCGUUAUUGUCGAACGAUGCAAAAUGAUUCGAUUGUUCGAAUCUAUAAAAAAAAAAAAAAAAAAAAAAAAAGGAA